rnacentral:rRNA from 1 species
CUAUAAUGCAAGUCGACGCGUUGGCCCAAUUGAUUGAUGGUGCUUGCACCUGAUUGAUUUUGGUCGCCAACGAGUGGCGGACGGGUGAGUAACACGUAGGUAACCUGCCCAGAAGCGGGGGACAACAUUUGGAAACAGAUGCUAAUACCGCAUAACAACGUUGUUCGCAUGAACAACGCUUAAAAGAUGGCUUCUCGCUAUCACUUCUGGAUGGACCUGCGGUGCAUUAGCUUGUUGGUGGGGUAAUGGCCUACCAAGGCGAUGAUGCAUAGCCGAGUUGAGAGACUGAUCGGCCACAAUGGGACUGAGACACGGCCCAUACUCCUACGGGAGGCAGCAGUAGGGAAUCUUCCACAAUGGGCGCAAGCCUGAUGGAGCAACACCGCGUGAGUGAAGAAGGUUUCGGCUCGUAAAGCUCUGUUGUUAAAGAAGAACACGUAUGAGAGUAACUGUUCAUACGUUGACGGUAUUUAACCAGAAAGUCACGGCUAACUACGUGCCAGCAGCCGCGGUAAUACGUAGGUGGCAAGCGUUAUCCGGAUUUAUUGGGCGUAAAGAGAGUGCAGGCGGUUUUCUAAGUCUGAUGUGAAAGCCUUCGGCUUAACCGGAGAAGUGCAUCGGAAACUGGAUAACUUGAGUCAGAAGAGGGUAGUGGAACUCCAUGUGUAGCGGUGGAAUGCGUAGAUAUAUGGAAGAACACCAGUGGCGAAGGCGGCUACCUGGUCUGCAACUGACGCUGAGACUCGAAAGCAUGGGUAGCGAACAGGAUUAGAUACCCUGGUAGUCCAUGCCGUAAACGAUGAGGCUAGGUGUUGGAGGGUUUCCGCCCUUCAGUGCCGGAGCUAACGCAUUAAGCACUCCGCCUGGGGAGUACGACCGCAAGGUUGAAACUCAAAGGAAUUGACGGGGGCCCGCCCCACAAGCCGGA